CGAAAACUAGAUGUGUCGAAUGUGCCAAAUAGUUGUAAGCCGUUGGUUUGCUUGCUCCGCAUACGUAAUUGCUUGCACAUAAUUAAGAUCGGAGAAAAGCUUAAAAAUAUAUCUGGUAAAAUUCAUUUUAAAUAUUAUAGCUUUCUAGUCAAUGAUUUCGUUAAUUACGAUUCUAAUUAUGAUGAGUAUAGAAAUGAUUCGCUUUAUCAUUUUCGUUUUUAUUCUUGAAAGAGUGGUAAUACAUUUAGAUACCAUGUAUUUCAGGUUAUAAAAUUAAAAUUCAUUUAUGAUGGCAUAUGUGGUAUUUUAUUGUUAAAAUGUUCAUAUUGGAAGAACGGGGCGGUUAAGAUAACUAACUUAAGUUAGUAACUAAAUCAUAAAUGUAACUUAAUAUAAACAUAGUUGAUUGAUGGAAUAAGGAAGUAUUCAAUUAAUUCUCUCUUUCUCUCUUCUCCAUCUUCUUCAUAUGAAUACUCCGUCAUUCUGAAAGUUCGCAUAUAGGUAAGGGUAAGUAUGGGUUUGGCUCUGAUCGGAACCAAGCCCGUUGGGAGGGUGUUUAGGGUUUAUAUUUUGCCCCGUUCAUUGACACCGAUUGGAUUAAAAUCCUCUGAAAUGAGAUUGAAUCAUUGGAUUUUAUCAAUGCGUACUCAAUUGGACGACAAGACAAAAUCGGAUUCGAGUUUCAAAGAUUAAGGUUAUAUAAGGUGAAAGUCAUAUUUUCAAUAAUACUAGUCAAUUAACUAUUAACCUAAUUAUAUCAAGCAAGCUUUACGUGCGAUAAUGGAUGGUUGGAUUAUAUAUAUAUAUAUAUAUGAGAUAAUUGAAUUACCACCAAUCAUUUAAAUCUCGAUCAAUCGUGUUUCAAAAUCUGGAUAGUCGCGCGUAUGCAUGAUAAACCUAAAUUUCAAGAUAGAAAUAUACGAACAUUAUCAGAUAUCUUAUAUUAUCUCAUCAUCAACUAUUUCACAUGAUUUGACCCCUAAUUAAUCAUUAAUAAAACCAUUGAAAAAUAAGAAAUUAACCAUGAAUACAUUUAAUCAUUCAAAAAUACAUUACUUAUUCCAAACUUUAAUCCAUGGGGGAGAAUAAUAAUCCAUCAAAAUAAUUACACAAUAUUGUUCAGGUAACAUUUAUAAAAAUCAAAUCGAUCUUCGAAAUCAAAAUUAUCAAAUGACUCAAUCACGUACUUCGAAUCGUAAUUUUUUGAUUUUUAUCGAGAUUCAAAAUCAUAGUCGAGAACGUUAAAAUAUUUCAAUUUAAUUUUGAUCAACUUCUCUUCCAGAUUUUUUCCGAAUUUAAGAUGGAGGCAAUUACGAACAAUUAAUAAUUGAAGAUGAGAGCAUGCAUCAAGAAUAGCUAGAAAACCAUCAUCAUCC
rnacentral:lncRNA from 1 species